GUGGAUUAGAUACCCUGGUAGUCCACGCCCUAAACGAUGUCUACUAGUUGUCGGGUCUUAAUUGACUUGGUAACGCAGCUAACGCGUGAAGUAGACCGCCUGGGGAGUACGGUCGCAAGAUUAAAACUCAAAGGAAUUGACGGGGACCCGCACAAGCGGUGGAUGAUGUGGAUUAAUUCGAUGCAACGCGAAAAACCUUACCUACCCUUGACAUGGAAGGAAUCCCGAAGAGAUUUGGGAGUGCUCGAAAGAGAACCUUUACACAGGUGCUGCACGGCUGUCGUCAACU
rnacentral:rRNA from 1 species